AGUGAACGCUGGCGGUAGGCCUAACACAUGCAAGUCGAACGGCAGCACAGUAAGAGCUUGCUCUUACGGGUGGCGAGUGGCGGACGGGUGAGGAAUACAUCGGAAUCUACUUUUUCGUGGGGGAUAACGUAGGGAAACUUACGCUAAUACCGCAUACGACCUACGGGUGAAAGCAGGGGAUCUUCGGACCUUGCGCGAUUGAAUGAGCCGAUGUCGGAUUAGCUAGUUGGCGGGGUAAAGGCCCACCAAGGCGACGAUCCGUAGCUGGUCUGAGAGGAGGGUCGGCCACACUGGAACUGAGACACGGUCCAGACUCCUACGGGAGGCAGCAGUGGGGAAUAGUGGGCAAUGGGCGCAAGCCUGAUCCAGCCAUACCGCGUGGGUGAAGGAGGCCUUCGGGUUGUGAAGCCCUUUUGUUGGGAAAGAAAAGCAGCAGGUUAAUACCCCGCUGUUCUGACGGUACCCAAAGAAUAAGCACCGGCUAACUUCGUG
rnacentral:rRNA from 1 species